rnacentral:rRNA from 1 species
AUUGAACGCUGGCGGCAGGCCUAACACAUGCAAGUCGAGCGGAUGAAGGGAGCUUGCUCCUGGAUUCAGCGGCGGACGGGUGAGUAAUGCCUAGGAAUCUGCCUGGUAGUGGGGGAUAACGUCCGGAAACGGGCGCUAAUACCGCAUACGUCCUGAGGGAGAAAGUGGGGGAUCUUCGGACCUCACGCUAUCAGAUGAGCCUAGGUCGGAUUAGCUAGUUGGUGGGGUAAAGGCCUACCAAGGCGACGAUCCGUAACUGGUCUGAGAGGAUGAUCAGUCACACUAGAACUGAGACACGGUCCAGACGCCUACGGGAGGCAGCAGUGGGGAAUAUUGGACAAUGGGCGAAAGCCUGAUCCAGCCAUGCCGCGUGUGUGAAGAAGGUCUUCGGAUUGUAAAGCACUUUAAGUUGGGAGGAAGGGCAGUAAGUUAAUACCUUGCUGUUUUGACGUUACCAACAGAAUAAGCACCGGCUAACUUCGUG